CAGGUACGCGGGGUCCUCCUGGUAGGCGGAGAUGGUCAGUGCCACGCUGCGCGCCGUGGCUGCCUCCAGGGGCCCCCGUGCCGCCGCGCGCCGCGCCGCCGCCGCCACCCGCCGGUGCUCCAGGGUCUCACUCCAGCCCAGUGUCACCAUCUCUACCCACUGCAGCCUUGGCUUCCUGAGCUCAAGUGAUCCUCCCACCCCAGCCUCCCAAGGAGCCAGGACCACAAGGCUGGAGUCACCAUGACUUGAUGAGGCAACUGAGUCACACAGAGGUUCAGCAGCUUGCCCAAGGUCAUCCCUGGAAAGAAGAGGAGCCAGGAUUUGAACCCUGGGAAUUGAAUCGCUAAACCUCAACCUAAUACACUGGCUUUAGCCCUCAGGAGAGCCCUGGGGGAUAGAUAGUGCUCACUACCCCCGUACAGGUGGCCAAACCGGGGACAGAGUAGCCAGGCAGGGUGGCUGGCACAAGGUCAGCAGCCCGCGGUGGAGGAAUCUUCUCUCUGACUUUCCAGAGGCACAGCCAGGUUCUCCUUUUCCACUGCCCAACUCCCAAGCGGAACCCCAGGUGCCCCAGUAAAUGCUGCUGGAAGAGCUCAGAAUCAGGGAAAGGUACUUUUUGUGUGCCAGACACUACUCUCCAACAACCUUAUUUCAUAUAUAUAUAUAUAUAUAUUUUUUUUUUUUUUUUUUUUUUUAGU